rnacentral:rRNA from 1 species
AGCGAACGCUGGCGGCAGGCCUAACACAUGCAAGUCGAACGGAACCUUCGGGGUUAGUGGCGGACGGGUGAGUAACACGUGGGAACGUGCCCUUUGGUUCGGAACAACUCAGGGAAACUUGAGCUAAUACCGGAUGUGCCCUUCGGGGGAAAGAUUUAUCGCCAUUGGAGCGGCCCGCGUCUGAUUAGCUAGUUGGUGAGGUAACGGCCCACCAAGGCGACGAUCAGUAGCUGGUCUGAGAGGAUGAUCAGCCACACUGGGACUGAGACACGGCCCAGACUCCUACGGGAGGCAGCAGUGGGGAAUCUUGCGCAAUGGGCGAAAGCCUGACGCAGCCAUGCCGCGUGAAUGAUGAAGGUCUUAGGAUUGUAAAAUUCUUUCAGCGGGGACGAUAAUGACGGUACCCGCAGAAGAAGCUCCGGCUAACUUCGUG